rnacentral:lncRNA from 1 species
AAAGCUUUGAAGAGCAUUGUUUCAUUCUUGAGUUUCACAUUAGAAGUCUAUUGAAUUUAGCAAAGCUUUGAUGAGCAUUAUUUAAUUCUUGAGCUCCAUAUUAGUAGUCUUCGCAAUUUAGCAAGGCUUUGAAGAGCAUUUCUUUAUUCUUGAGUUCCACAAUAUAAGUCUAUGUAAUUUAAGCAAAGCUUUGAUGAGCAUUGUUUUAUUCUUGUGUUCCACAUUAGAAGUCUAUGCAAUUUAGCGAAGCUUUGAUGAGCAUCGUUUUAUUGUGUUCCACAAUAGAAGUCUAUAAAAUUUAAGCAAAGCUUUGAUUAGCAUUCCACAAUAGAAGUCUAUAAAAUUUAAGCAAAGCUUUGAUUAGCAUUGUUUGAUUCUUGAGUUCAACAAUAGAAGUCUAUGCAAUUUAGCAAAGCAUUCAUGAGCAUUCUUUCAUUCUUGGGUUCCACAUUAGAAGUCUAUGUAAUUUAUUAAUGCUUUGAUGAGCAUUGCUUAAUACCUUAGUUCCACAAUAGAAGUCUAUGCAAUUUAGCAAAGCAUUGAUGAGCAUUAUUUAAUUCUUGAGUUCCACAAUAGAAGUAGUCGUUGCAUUUUAAUAAAGCUUUGAUGAGCAUUGUUUAAUUCUUUGGAUCCACAAUAGAAGUGUCUGUAAUUUUUCCAAAGCUUUGAUGAGCAUUGUCUCUUUCUUUAGUUCCACAUUAGAAGUCUAUGCAAUUCAGAAAAGCUUUGAUGAACAUUGUUUAUUGAGUUCCACAAUAGAAGUGGUCUUCGUAAUUUCGCAAAGCUUUGAUGAGUAUUGUUUAGUUCUUGAGUUCNAAUAGAAGUAUCUUCGCAAUUUAGCGAAGCUUUGAUGAGCAUUUCUUUAUUUUUGAGUUCCACAAUAGUAGUCUCUGCAAUUUAAGCAAAUCUUUAACGAAAAUUGUUUCAUUCAUGAGUUCCACAUUACAAGUCUACAUACAUUGGCAAAGCUUGGAUGAGCAACAUUCCGUUCUUGAGUUCCACAAUAGAAGUCUAUGCAAUUUAAGCAAAGCUUUGAUGAGCAUUGUUUGAUUCUUGAGUUCCACAAUAGAUCUCUAUGCAAUUUUGCAAAGUUUUCAUGAGCAAUGUUUCAUUCUUGGGUUCCACAUUAGAUGUCUAUGCAAUUUAGCAAAGCAUUGAUGACCAAUGUUUAGUUCUUGAGUUCUACAAUAGAAGUAGUCUUUGCAAUUUUUUUAGGAAAGAGGUCGAAGCCUCGUCAAUGAUUUUAUAAAUUCAAAAAGAGAAAUACAAGAGUUAUGUCAUUUUUGGACAAACCCCAAAAAUGACCAAAAUCCCAAAUAUCACGCAAAUACCAAAACCAAAGGCUAACCCUAGCAACAAUGUAACCAAAGAAAAUACAAUUUAUUUUAACCCAACUCCACAACCCGGAGUGGUCUUCAAAAUUCCUUUCCAACACGAAUUGAACUCACCAUCUUUUCUCCCAAUCUUCAUAAAUGCAAUCUCUAUGUAUGCUCCACAUCCAUAUGCUAAAAAUAACACAAUUCCCAUGAACAAAAAUACCCCAAAAGUUCCACAAAAAAAUGUAUAUAGUAUCCACAUUCCAAUUCCCAAUGAUAUCCACAAUAGCAAUCUUCUUUCUUCUCUCCUCCCUUUUUUCUUUAUUUUCAUAUAUGUAUAACGAAAGUAUAAUGCUAAAAAUAGCCACACUAUCAUCCUCUCUAUUCACAAUCUUCCAAUUCUUACAAUCCUCUUUCCUAUAGCCCCCAAAAAAUAUAUCUAUAUCCAAAGUCCAUCCAAUUCUAACCAAAAAAACUAAUUUUUUAGAGCACUUGCCAUCAAAACCUCUUUUAUGCACAUCAAAAUUCUCCAAAAACAUCUUCAAUAAAGCCUUCCAAUUAUCUUCCAUUCCAAAAAAUCUCAAUAAGUUCUUUAAAACAUCUCCAUCUUCAAUAAAGCUGAAAAGAAUAUAUCCAUCAAUUCCAUGAAUGUAAACACCUUGUUUCCAAGGCGCGUGUUCACUUUUAAGGGAAAAAGUGAUAAAAAUCCCGAACCCGUCAAUUCCUUGAAUAUACUCACCUUGUUUCCAAGGCGGAUAAUCACUUUUAAGGGAAAAAGUGAGAAAAAUACCGAGAUCGUCAAUUCCUUGAAUAAGCUCAUCUUGUUUCCAAGACGGAAGUUCACUUUUAAGGGAAAAAGUGAGAAAAAUCCUGAUUCUGUCAAUUCCUUUGAUAUACACACCUUGUUUCCAAGGCGGGAAUUCACUUUUAAGGGAAAAAGUGAUAAAAAUCCCGAUUCCGUCAAUUCCUUGGGUAUACACACCUUGUUUCCAAGGCAGAGGUUCACUUUUAAGGGAAAAAGUGAUAAAAAUCCCAAAGCCGUCAAUUCCAUGUUUAUACACACCUUGUUUCCAAGGAGGAGGAUCACUUUUAAGGGAAAAAGUGAGAAAAAUCCCAAAUCUGUCAAUUCCUUUUAUAUACACGCCUCGCUUCCAAGGCAGAGGAUCAUAACAAUUGGGAAACCCCAAGUGAAAAUGAUAAAAGUCCACCUCAUAAGGUCUUAACCAAAUGAAACUCGGGAUCAAACCGAGAUGCAAUUCACUUUUAAGGGAAAAAGUGAUAAAAAUCCCACAUCUGUCAAUUUCGUGUAUACACACACCUUGUUUCCAAGGUGGGAAAUCACAACAUAUAAGAAAGAAACUCAUAUGAAGAUGAAUAAAAUCCACAUCAUAAGGCCUAGACCAAAUGAUACUCGGGAUCAAACCAAUUUAGCAAAGCUUUGAUGAGCAUUGUUUAAUUCUUGAGUUUCACAAUAGAAGUGAAUGCAGUUUAAAAAAAGCUUACAUGAGGAUUGUUUUAUUCUUGAGUUAAACAUUAGAAGUCUAUGAAAUUUAGCAAAGUUUUGAUGAGCAUUGUUUAAUUCUUGAGUUCCACAAUAGAAGUCUAUGCACUUUAAACAAAGCUUUGAUGAUCAUUGUUUCAUUAUUGAGUUCCACAUUAUAAGUCUAUGCAAUUUAGCAAAGCUUUGAUGAGCAUUGUUUAAUUCUUGAGUUCCACAAUAGAAGUAGUCUUCGUAAUUUAGCAAAGCUUUGAUGAGCAAUUCUUUAUUCUUGAGUUCCACAAUAGUAGUCUAUGCAAUUUAAGCAAAGCCUUGACGAGCAGUGUUUCAUUCUUGAUAUCCACAUUUGAGGUCUACGCAAUUUGUCACACCCCGAAAAUCAAAGGCGGAAACAUUUCCGGGGUUGACUCCAAGUUGUGUAUCAAAUCCAAUGUACAUAGUAAUCACAGUAAACAACCAUUACAUUACAUAUAUAUGAAAGUUUACAUUUGGUUCAAAAGUAAAUUGUACAAAAGUUAUACAUAUAUCAUAUGAACAAAAUGAGACGAGUCUUCCACAUACUCCGUCUUCACCAAAAGAUAACGCCGGGUACCUGUCUAACGUGGACCUGAGAAUACAAGUAGUUUGAAAAUCAGCAUAAAGCUGGUGAGUUCAUAAGCGGCUUUGUUUUAUGAAAAUGUAUCGGUUUCCUUUAGUUUUUCCGAAAAAGGUUUGUUAUCCAAGAAAAUCCCAUAUUUUCUUAUGUUAAAUAGUUUCGUUAUCUUUCAAUACAGUUCAGUUACGCGUUAUAAAUUAACCCCAGGAAAAUCCCAUAUUUUCCUAAAUGCAAGAUAGAUUAAAUAAUACAGAGUAUAGUUUAAUACACAAAACUAUAUAUUGAAAAUCAUAGGAUUACUAUCCCGAAUUAGACAAGGAUACUAUAAUAUAGACGAACUGUAGAUAGAAAGUAUUUUGAAAACCUUGGGACUAACAUCCCGAACUAGUUACAAGAUAGUUUGAUAUACUAGAAAAUAUAGAUUGAAAACCAUGGGACUACUAUACCGAAUCAGAUAUAAGAUUGUUUGAUAAAACCAUGGGAUCACUAUCCCGAAUUUGAUAUAAGAUAGUUGGAUAAAGUCAUGGGAUUACCAUCCCUACAAGAUAUAGAUUCAAAAACCAUGGGAUUACCAUCCCGUAUAAGAUAUAGAUACAAAACCAUGGGAUUAUCAUCCCGAACGAGAUAUAGAUACAAAACCAUGGGAUUAUCAUCCCGAACGAGAUAUAGAUUCAUAACCAUGGGAUUACUAUCCCGAACAAGAUAUAAAGUCAAAACCAUCUAAGCUGUGAAUAAAUUUAUAUUAAUACGUAUUGUGAGUCGGGUAACCAUGCUGAUACGACAACGAGACCUCCUUGACGUUAGUCAAACGUCGGACGAUAUCCAGAAUUUGUCACCCCAGGCGUGCCCGCCUAACUGUAGCUAGCAGUUAAGGUGUGGGAUUGUCAGUCCCGAAUAGAUCUAUUCACAAAUUCCUCGUUUUCCCUCCAGGAGACUCUGGUUACACUUCCGGGGAGGAUUUACUGAUCAUCCAUAAAGGGUAGUGACUACUCACAAACUAGUAUUAAACUAUUCACAGGAUUCUCAUACGAUAUCAAACAUACAAAGAUUUUAUGAUAUGAUACAGUGAAAAUAGAUACAUACAAGAAACUAUCUGGCAAUACAUUCAAAUGAUACGGAGAUAAACUGAAUCAGACAUAGUUUAUCUAAUAACUUUAUACAGAUAUUAGUACAUGAUAUAAAGAGAAAUAUAGAACCCCAAAUUAUUCCCAUAAUAAUUUGAUUAGUUUGGUUAUUUUCUUAACUAAAAUCCAUUUAGUUGUAAUUGAUAAAUCAUUCCUUAUGCUCAGCAUAAUACAUAAGGAGUAAAAGUGUUUAUAAGUUUGCCAGAUAUUAUUUGAAACACAUCAAUGUUAUAAUUCGAAAACAGUUAUAGUUUGCUUGUAUUCCCCCCCUGCAAACAUUGAAAAACACGGAAAAAGGCGUAGGGGUAUGAACUCACCGGACGAGAAAUGUGACGAUUUGGAUGCUAAGAGUUGAUCCGGGGCUUGUAAAUACACGAGGUUCCUAAUUAUAAUGUAAAGAUACACAUUUGUAUCUAAUUAGGACUUAGUUUAUUUAUAUGAUAGGGACACUUGCUUCAAGUCGCGAAAACACUCCGAUACAAGUGUUUGGAGGGACCCGGGUGGCGUUUAAGGACGUGAAAUGACACUAGGGACUUGGGACUUGAGUUUACUCCCCAUGAGUAAACUAAUAUAAGAGUUUUGGGUCUAAAACACCCAUUCCCCAUGAGUUUACGGCCGUAAACUCAUGGUGGGGUGGUUUAUGGUGCAAAAUGACUUCAAACACUUUAAGGGAAUUUUUCUAGGUUGCUUUAAAGGCUUGAAAUGGAUUUUAAACAUCAAAUGGACUCACUUAUGGGAGUUUACGGCCUAGCAUGGCUUCAUGGCCGUAAACUCCUAUUUUCUCAUGAAAAUUGUGUUAAAUGGAGCUAGAACAAAUCACAUGUGAUUGAUAAAUUUAUCCUAAGGCCUUAUAUGAGUUUUUAUGUGACUUAUGAGGGGUUUUUGGAGUUUACGGCCUAUGAGACCCCCCUCAUGGCCGUAAACUCUUCUAUAGGGUGAUACAAGGUGUUUUAAGGCCUAAAACUUGCAUGGAAGGGCUUCUAAAAUUCAUCUAAAGGCUUUAGGGGUGUUUAGUUAGCAUUCUAACACCAUGAAUCAAGGAGUUUACGGCCCAAGCACAAGCCUUGGCCGUAAACUCUUAAAAAUCCCACAAAUAAUGUGUUUAAGGCCCUUAAACUAUUUUUGGUUGGUCCUAUGAUUUAUUCCAAGGCUUUUGGUGGUGUUGGAUGGCUUUCUAACACCUUAGAAUUGAAUUUAUGCCAUGUUUUGAGGAGUUUACGGCCCAAGCACAUGCCUUGGCCGUAAACUCACAUAAGUCCCCCAAAAAUCAUGUUUCAAGUGUCCAAAUGCUAAAACCAAUAUUCUAUAAUUCAUAUCUAAGCCAUACUAGUGAUUUGGAAGGGUUUAAGGUCAAGAAAACCCCUUAAAUAUGAGUUUACGGCCCAAGCUUGUGCCUUGGCCGUAAACUCCUUCAAAGUCUUCAAAAUUCAUGUUUUAAAUGUUCUAAGUCCAUAUCUUGAAGUCCCUUAGCCAUAUCUAAAGUCCAAAUGAGUUUAGGAAGGAGUUUAAGGGCUUAAAACCCUUCAAAUUGGUGUUUACGGCCUAGGCAGCCUCCUGGGCCGUAAACUCACAUAUGUUGUCCCAUUUCAUGAUUAAAUGUCGAAUUUGGAAGCCAAAUAUGCUAUAGAUUAAGGCUAGGAAGGUACCUUAGGGAUUUGAGGCCUUAAAAUUGAGUUUUGGACCCUUAAACUUGGAUUUUAGGAGAGAGGUUAGAGAGAGAGUAGAGAGAGAAGGAAAAAGCUUCAAAUGAAAGGUUUAACACGUUUAUAUAGUUCCCAAAACUUGGACACGGUGGAAUUCUACCCGAUACCGGCCUUAAACGAGGCUUUUGGUCGCACCCGAUUAAAUUCCCGUCACCCGGCGGGGACGUUUCUAAAAAUUUUGAAAUAAAUAUUUUUGGGCUAAAUUCAUGAGUUUCUAAAUGGUUUGGACACUCAUUGUAUAAAAAUAAACGUAUAACUUUAAUUAACUUAACCCAAAAACGACAUCGGGACGUUUCGACAUACGGCGAGUUAUACGGGUAGAACGGGGUUUUGGCGAUGAACAACUUCGGGUUGUUACACAAUUUAGCAAAGCUUUGAUGAGCAUUAUUUGAUUCUUGAGUUCCACAAUAGAAGUGGAUGUACUUUAAGCAAAGCUUUGAAGAGCAUUGUUUCAUUCUUGAGUUUUACAUUAGAAGUCUAAUGAAUUUAGCAAAGCUUUGAUGAGCAUUAUUUGAUUCUUGAGUUCCACAAUAGAAGUGGAUGUACUUUAAGCAAAGCUUUGAAGAGCAUUGUUUCAUUCUUGAGUUUUACAUUAGAAGUCUAAUGAAUUUAGCAAAGCUUUGAUGAGCAUUAUUUGAUUCUUGAGUUCCACAAUAGAAGUGGAUGUACUUUAAGCAAAGCUUUGAAGAGCAUUGUUUCAUUCUUGAGUUUUACAUUAGAAGUCUAAUGAAUUUAGCAAAGCUUUGAUGAGCAUUAUUUAAUUCUUGAGUUCCACAAUAGAAGUGGAUGUACUUUAAGCAAAGCUUUGAAGAGCAUUGUUUCAUUCUUGAGUUUUACAUUAGAAGUCUAAUGAAUUUAGCAAAGCUUUGAUGAGCAUUAUUUAAUUCUUGAGUUCCACAAUAGAAGUGGAUGUACUUUAAGCAAAGCUUUGAAGAGCAUUGUUUCAUUCUUGAGUUUUACAUUAGAAGUCUAAUGAAUUUAGCAAAGCUUUGAUGAGCAUUAUUUAAUUCUUGAGUUCCACAAUAGAAGUGGAUGUACUUUAAGCAAAGCUUUGAAGAGCAUUGUUUCAUUCUUGAGUUUUACAUUAGAAGUCUAAUGAAUUUAGCAAAGCUUUGAUGAGCAUUAUUUAAUUCUUGAGUUCCACAAUAGAAGUAGUCGUUGCAAUUUAAUAAAGCUUUGAUGAGCAUUGUUUAAUUAUUUGGUUCCACAAUAGAAGUGUAUGCAAUUUUUCCAAAGUUUUGAUGAGCAUUGUUUCUUUCUUUAGUUCCACAUUAGAAGUCUAUGCAAUUCAGAAAAGCUUUAAUGAACAUUGUUUAUUGAGUUCCACAAUAGAAGUGGUCGUCGCAAUUUAGCAAAGCUUUGAUGAGUAUUAUUUAGUUCUUGAGUUCCACAAUAGAAGUAGUCUUCGCAAUUUAGCGAAGCUUUGAUGAGCAUUUCUUUAUUUUUGAGUUCCACAAUAGUAGUCUCUGCAAUUUAAGCAAAUCUUUGACGAGAAUUGUUUCAUUCAUGAGUUCCACAUUACAAGUCUACGCACAUUGGCAAAGCUUGGAUGAGCAACGUUUCGUUCUUGAGUUCCACAAUAGAAGUCUAUGCAAUUUAAGCAAAGCUUUGAUGAGC